AAAAUUAAUACAAGUGAAAAUUUAGUAAAAGAUGUUAGUGAAGAUGAAAAGAUGUUUUUUGGUUAUUUUUUGGAGAACACUCAACUAUUCACUCACAAGCAUGAAAAUAUGAACCUAUACAUAAUUUAUGAGAAGGGCUCCAACGUGAAUAAAAUCAACAAGUAUGCUACUAGCUCUCACAAAUGGAAAAGGAACAACAUUU
rnacentral:lncRNA from 1 species